GUAACGUGCCAUGGUAAAAUAUUAUAAUAACGCAGAUGGUGAAAAGAUUAUUUCUUGAUAAGAGGAAUUAAGAGACAAAAGAGACAUGGAGGAGAUGGGAUUUAAGUUCUACUGGAAAGGAAUUAGACAUGCAGAGGCUGGGAUGAGUGAGACUAUUAAAAAAAAAGAACAAGGAAGCAGAAGAAUGUGAGUCGUCAAAGUAAAGAAUAUAAAAGGAAAUAACAGGGAAUAAAUUUGAGCUGAGGUAAAGCAUGGAAGUUGAAAUUCAAAUUCUACAAGUGAUAGGAAACCACUGAAGAUAUUUUAGCAGGGUUGCGAUGUCAUCUGAAGUUUUCCUUAGGACUUGAAGACAAGAGAAUGAGGGCGGUAAGAGAAGAAAAUAAGUGCAACAUGCCAGAAAUCCAGUAAAGCAGUUCAAGUAUCAGAAGAGCGUGAAUCAAAACCAAGUGCAAGAAGAGGCACCUUGACAUUGAACUGAAGGCCACCAGGUACUCACUGGGUCAAUGACUCUUCUCAUUUUUAUUCUCCUGCCAGUGCUUCCAAUCGCUGAACUGAACUGGGAACAAAUCAACAAGGGAAACCAAGAGAUGCAUUCCUUGAAGUUCAGCCUCCAGGCCUCAAGUAAGGCAGAGGAAGAGAAUACAUAGAUCUGUGGAGAAGAGUGGUGAUGGUGGGAGCUGCCAAUAAAGAACUAUCAAAAAAGACUUUACACCAGGAAGAGUUCCUUUUAAAAUUGGCCUGGGUGGCAGAGGUCAGAACAUACACAAUUCAACAACAACUUGCGCCACCCACCUCCAAUUCCCUGCUCUACAGGACCAUCCUGACUUCCACAGUGACCCGAGCACUGGCAUUCCAAGGACUCAAAUGACCACCUUCCUCGCCCUUCAAUAAGUAUCUCUCAGUGAAGAAAGUAUUUGGAUGAAUGACAGAAAGCAUCCUGAACUGUGCACCUGCAAAAGAUAUUUCACACAUUCCUUUUUGGACAUUUUGUUAUUUUCCUCUAAGCCGAUAGCCUUUCCAUCUUGUGCAGGAAAGAUCAUUAAGUAUUUCAUAGGCAUAAACAUUUCAUGUUCAAAACUUUUGGUACUUCAGUUGUAAUAUUGUUAUUGUACUACAUAAAUCUAAAAUAAAACCAGCUUCUCUGCCCAGUACCUAUCAGCUGCAAUUUAGGGGAAGUGCCUUUAUAUUUAUAUCCUAUGGGCCCAAUCAGGUAGAAAGAGAAUUAUUCUUUAUCUUGUCUAAUGUCCCCAAAUCUCCCAGGUCCCAAGUCACAGAAAGGCAAUGUGGUAGCAUUCUUCUGGGGACUCAUCAGAUAUAUCCUCAAAGUACUUUUGUCAAAUACAUUAUUCUAAUCAAUGUGAAUCCUAAAAUGUUAUUAUUAAUAGUAUAGUUAUAUGUUGUCAAUUUUUUUUGGAAUAUGAAUCAUUUUUGUAAGUAAUAUGUCAUUUGAUUGUCUCAAAAAUUCUAUCAAGUUAUCCCAUUUUGUGGGUCAAAGAACUAAGGUUCAGGAACAUGAAGGGACUUGCUUCAAUUAAUUGGUCAGGAUGUGAUGGCGGGGAGAUUUGGAGAGGCUCCAGGGUCCAAGGUUGAGCCUUUGUGCUAUUCUAUGUCACUUGGCUUCUGGCAGAGCACAGAUCUUAGAUGUUUAGCUCUUCAGUCACAGGAUGGAGAGGAGGGAAAGUCAGAAGCACGGAGGCGGUCCUGUUGUGUAGCACUGAUUUUCAGAAUCUUCCCCCAACACUUCAUCUUCCUCCUUGUUCUUUUCCUGGCCAAGCCUUAAUUGACCAGUUCUACUUCUAGUUAAGGACCAAUUCCUUCUGGCCCAGUGCUACAAGGACAUUAGCAAUCCCACUCCUUCACGAAGCUGAUUGUGAGUCAUGCCAGUUCCUCCUCCAGGCAGAACCAGGUGUGGGCACUCUUUCUGAGCUCCGCAUCGAACAUGGGGACCUGUGAUGCAGUGUUUUCAGCUCCCACUGGAGAGAUGCAGAGAGGGCGAUUUAUCAGUGACAGUCAAAAAAGCUGGUUCUGCCUCUUUCUAGAGGCAGAUGCAGGGGCCUAGAUGUUGUUAUUAAUCAUUCGUAAACGGUUCUGUGUUCAAAAUAGCAGUGUUUAAAUAUUUCAGAACAGGUCCAGCCUCAUAAAAAGUGGGUUAUGGGCUGUCAUGAUAACAUUUCAUCUCCUUCACCAUGUUGUGGCCGAGAGAAAUAAGCUGUCACUGCCACUUGCAUCCCUGACCCUCCAACAUGCCAGGGCACAGCAGCCAAUGGAGUGUGCUGGCAGCAAGGCAGGGGGGAGAAAGGCAGGACUACUCCAUCAAGAUACCACCAUGAACCAAAAGGGCAAUUUUCCCAUAUUUAGGCUGCCUGUUUGGGUUAACUAUCAACCAAAGACCUUUGUUUUUAAACAGAACCUUUUUUCUCUUUCACAUUUGAUAAAUAAAAGCCU
rnacentral:lncRNA from 1 species